UACGUAGGGGGCAAGCGUUGUCCGGAUUUAUUGGGCGUAAAGAGCGUGUAGGCGGCCAAGCAGGUCAGCUGUGAAAACUCGAGGCUCAACCUCGAGACGUCGGUUGAAACCGCUUGGCUAGAGUCCGGAAGAGGAGAGUGGAAUUCCCGGUGUAGCGGUGAAAUGCGCAGAUAUCGGGAAGAACACCCGUGGCGAAGGCGGAUCUCUGGGACGGUACUGACGCUGAGACGCGAAAGCGUGGGGAGCGAACAGG
rnacentral:rRNA from 1 species